GGUCAAGUUAUUAAGGGUGCAGGGCGGAUGCCUUGGCACUAGGAGCCGAUGAAGGACGUGAUAAGCUGCGAUAAGCUUCGGGGAGUUGCACGUAAACUUUGAUCCGAAGAUUUCCGAAUGAGGAAACUCACUUAGAGUAAUGUCUAAGUAUCAUUAAGUGAAUACAUAGCUUAAUGAGGGGAACUCAGGGAACUGAAACAUCUAAGUACCUGAAGGAAGAGAAAGAAAUUCGAUUCCGUAAGUAGCGGCGAGCGAACGCGGAUUAGCCCAAACCAAUAAAGUUUUCUUUAUUGGGGUUGCGGACAUAUCAUAACGAAGAGGUAUCGUAAUUGAAGAGGUUUGGAAAGACCCACCACAGAAGGUAAUAGUCCUGUAUGUUAAACGAGAAGACUUCAGAUAUGAUCCAGAGUACCACGGGACACGUGAAACCCUGUGGGAAGCAGGAGGGACCACCCUCCAAGGCUAAAUACUACCUAGUGACCGAUAGCGUAUAGUACCGUGAGGGAAAGGUGAAAAGAACCCCGGGAGGGGAGUGAAAUAGAACCUGAAACCCUGCACUUACAAGCUGUGGAAGCACAUUUCUUGUGUGACCGCGUACUUUUUGUAGAACGGGCCAACGAGUUACGUUAAGUAGCAAGGUUAAGCACUUAAGGUGUGGAGCCGUAGCGAAAGCGAGUUUUAACUGAGCGUUCAGUUACUUGACGUAGACCCGAAACCGGGCGACCUACCCAUGAGCAGGAUGAAGCGAAAGUAAAAUUUCGUGGAGGUCCGAACCCACGAGCGUUGAAAAGCUCGGGGAUGACUUGUGGGUAGCGGUGAAAUUCCAAUCGAGCCCGGAGAUAGCUGGUUCUCCCCGAAAUAGCUUUAGGGCUAGCCUCAAGGUGAGAGAUACGGAGGUAGAGCACUGAAUGUCCUAGGGGGUAUUGCACCUACCGAAGACUAUCAAACUCCGAAUGCCGUCAUCUUAUACUUGGGAGUCAGACUGUGGGUGAUAAGAUUCAUAGUCGAAAGGGCAACAGCCCAGAUCGUCAGCUAAGGUCCCUAAAUGUAAGUUAAGUGGUAAAGGAUGUGGGAUUGCACAGACAACCAGGAUGUUGGCUUAGAAGCAGCCACUCAUUCAAAGAGUGCGUAAUAGCUCACUGGUCGAGUGAUCCUGCGCCGAAGAUUUCCGGGGCUAAAACUUACUACCGAAGCUACGGCAUCAGUAAUGAUGGGUAGGGGAGCUUCCCAUACGGGUUGAAGCAUGACCGUAAGGACAUGUGGACAGUAUGGGAGUGAGAAUGUUGGCAUGAGUAGCGAGAUGUGGGUGAGAAUCCCACAGGCCGUAAACCCAAGGUUUCCAGGGGAAGGUUCGUCCGCCCUGGGUU
rnacentral:rRNA from 1 species